GGAAAGGCCGAGGGUGCUCAGGCGCAGUGGACAGAACACACUGCUUCCUGUGUCCCACGUUCGCCUCGCUCGGUAGCUCUCCACCCGUAGGCGCAGGGGCCUCAGAAUCCCUAUCUGUCUCGGACGGAGUGGUGUGCUGGAGCCUGAGCUCCCGCAGCAGCUUCCAGAACCAUCGAGCAACACGCUGGGCAGUGCCGUGCUCAUAUGGGCGGUGGCUACCUGAGCCACGGAGACGGGCCAGCCCUGCAAGCCAGGGCUCUUCCCCUUCGACAAGGAUGGACAUUAUCUGAUAAGUUAUUGAGGUAACUCCGUUGGAGGACUGGCCUCUUGCUGCCUGUUCCCACUGUCUGCUGUGGUGUGACUGUGUCAGGUCAUUCCCUCUGGUCUCCUGGUUUCUGGUCUUCCAUGAUCCUGCCAGACAGAAACUCGUAAUGAUUCUAUGACUGUCAAAGAUAUGUGAUGAUCACUCACCUGGAUUUAUUUAUCUAUUUUUCACUAAGAAGAUAAUUUAACCAACACAGAAACUGCAAGCCUAGAGGGCUUGCAUGAACUGCAAAACACCUUCAGCACCCUCAGAAAAAACAAACAGAAGCCCUCCAGGGGGAGAGGGUCGUACCCCCAAAGGCCCGAAGGGCGGAGACAAAAUAAGAAAGAGGAUAACCCCACGACUGGUAAAAAAGCUGGGAUAAUAGUGUUAUAUAUAUUUCGGCUCUUUUAUUCCACGGUAGGUCUUGGAGUUACUGUAAAUAUACAUUUCUUUAAAAACAGAAUUAUAAAUUACUUUCAGUAAAGGCACUGAAUUCCUGAACGUUUUCCCAACUUGGCUCUGAAAUGCACAUCGAUAACAUCUGGCCAAGCACCCUCACGCAGGAGAAAAAUUCAAAUAAAUUGCGUUCAAUGUUUAUGGUUUUUUGGGAGGGAGGCAGUGAGAUAUAAAAACCACCUGAGCGAGUACUAUCAUCAGGCUAGUGUGCAGGACAGAAAGAAGCUUUGGGAAUUAAUAGCCACAUGCUGUUCGGUCAGCUGAAGAAAAGCUCAAAAAUGGAGCGUGUGGCCCUCAGAAGAAAGUUUCCUCCUAUAAAAUGAAACUAGAUGUGGAUCUCUGUGGACCCGAAGGAUGGUCCGGUAGAGAAAAAAGGUUGGAAUUGGAGUCUGAACGUUAGGAGGCCAGAAGGGUGAUUCUGGAACACUCACUCGGAGGUAAACGACAAAGUCCUGGCAUUGGAGGGAUUUCUGCCGCUUGAUGGUGAGAGGGAAAAUGAAAUGUGACUGAUUGUUGUCAAGGAAAAGCGUGCGUUUGACGGCUCCUUUUUGUUUCAGAGUAUCCAAGUAUACCUCGGCGGUCAGGCCUAAGGGACAGAAAUAGAGCAAAUAUAAUCAGGAAAGGCAAAGUAUUCAGUGAAUGCAGUGCUCGAAUGAAUUUCUAUUUCCACUUGCUUAUUCAGAAAACAUUGUUUUCAUAGUUGGGAUCAAAAACAAAUACACGAGCUGCAAAAGUUUUAUAAAAUACUCCCCAAGCUAUGAAACUUGUUUUGUAAUGGUUUGACACAGUCACUUCCCCCUCCCCCAUGAUGAUAUCUGUUUUUAUAGAUAAUAUUAACACCAAUUAUUCAAGGAAUAUUUACAGAGAGGUUUCCAUAUAUACAGUAGAAAUCUUAAUAUUAGAAACGGGCUCAUUGAAAGUUUUAUAGGGUCUGCAGAGGAACAUUUAUUGUUAACUUUUCUCAGUGUAGCAUAGGAGUGUAAAAAUGAAAACAUGCUCACCUAUUGUAUUUGAAAUGCUCUGGCCCGCUACUGAAGCACAUACUUUUAAAGAAAAGCUACGGAAAAAAAUAGUCAACAAUGUAUUGGUUAAUAACAUUUUGAAUCUGAAAUAGACAUCUUACUUCACCUCACCCCAGGUCAAAUGAAUACAUCAUUUUUCCUUUAUACUUCUCAGUAUACACACACACAACUAAAUAUACAUAUAUUUGUAAAAAAAUACAUACAUACAUAUACACAUAUAUACAUACAUAUAUAUGCAUACAUAUACAUAUAUACAUACAUACAUAUAUAUAUACACACACACACACACAUAUAUAUAUAUAUCUCACCAGUUGACCAUAAUACAAUUAAGACAACUAACAUUAAUACAUAGGAAGGUAAUACUUUAAAGCAUUACUAGCAGCUAACUGAUUUAAUCAUUGGAUUAGUUAAUUACUGGCUGCUUUGAUUCAACAAAUACAAAUGAAUAUCGUCCAUGUGCCAGGGAGGGAAGAAUUAGGCAAUGCAGCUGGGGAACAGCCAGUCAUAGAGCCUGGAGAUAAGCAAGAACAUGACUCCAUUUGAGGAACGUGAGGAAAUUCAGUAUGGUUGGUGCAUUCGAGCAAGGCCAGAAGCUAGAGGAGGGGAGGCUGGUUGGGUUGAUCUGUGGGGAACAGGGCUUUGAAAGUCAUGUUAAUCCUAAGAGGCACGGAGCCCUAUGGGAUGAUUAACCCGCAUCCCCACCCAGCUUAGGAGGAGAUGGGGACCUGGUGGUAACUUGCUGGGUGUGGGUAUAAUUUGAGGCAGAGACAUUCCAAGAGGGCAGGGAGAGAGAAGGAACAUAAGGAGCUGAGCGUGGCUGUCUCAAGCUGGGUAGGCACAAUGAUAUGGUGUAGAGAGACUAUAAAAAGAGGGUAGAUGUGCGUAAGAAACACCUUAUAGUUUUGCUGGGAAAUUGACCUAAAAUCCAAAGAGAUGUCUGCCAUGGUUUGUAGGAUGACCGGCACUCGGACCUGUUCUGUGGCCAAAGAGGGAAUGAGAAAUGGCCAGUUGUCUCUGCCUGGCUUUGCACAAUGUGCUCACGUCCCUCCUGAACAAUGGUGAACGACCCAGUGAUUCAACAGCUCUAUACAUUACUCAGUGGUCACUGUGAUAAGUGUAGUCACCAUCUGCCACCAAACUUACAACAAAAUGAUUGACUCUGUUCCCUCUGCUGUCCUUUUCAUCGCUGUGACUUACUUAUUUUGUUAACUAGAAGUCUGUACCUCUUCCUCUUCCUCUUCAUCUAUUUUGCCUAUCUCUCCAUCCCUCCCUCCUCUCUGCCGACCACUUGUUUGUCCUCUGUAUGAAUCUGUUUCUGGGUUUUUUUGUUUGUUUGUUUAUGCAUUUGCUUUGUUUUUUAGGUUCCCCGUAUGACUGAAUCAUAUGUUAUUUGUGUUUCUCUGUCUGACUUAUUUCACUCUAGGUCCAUCCAUGUUGUUGCAAAUGGCAGAAUCUCAUUCUUUUAGGGCUGAGUAAUUUCCACCGUGUAUCUAUACGCCAUCUUCCUUAUCCAUUCAUCUAUGGACACUUGGGUAGCUUGGCUAUUGUAAAUAGUGCUGCAAUAAACAUAGAAAUCCAUAUAUCAUUUCGAAUUAGUGUUUUUGUUGAAGCAUUCACUCUGAAUUUAGCAAACUAUAUAUUGUACGUAAACAUACACAUAUAUUCGCUAUGUGUUUUAUCUGCCAAAACAUUUGGUCCACUCACGGUCUACACCUAAUUAUAAAGUACUCUUGCAUUUUCAGGGAAAGCUGUGACCUAUAAUCAAUUAGAGUUAAAACUGCAAACUUGAAUUUAUGGUCACAUUCAAUAUGGUACAUUAGUCUGAAUAGGUCUGAUUGGAGCAAAGACAACAAAUCAACCCAGAUCCCUCAUCACAUAAGUUCUAAAGGAAACUGACGUCUGUAGUGCUUCUAAUAUAUCAGAAAGCAGGACAAUGCGUUAUAAAUCCUCUGACACCAGCCCCAACCCGAUGUACAGUUGGAAUAAUGAUGCUGUGGUAUAAUGGUGAGCGUAGCCAUGCUUGAUGGAAAAAGAAUGAGGCGGAUGUGAAACAGGAUUUAAAAGUACAAAGCAGUUCAGUUUUCAGCCUAUGCAAUUUAAUUCGAUUUCAGUGACAGCAAAUAUCAGACUUUGCAUAAAGGUAGGCAUACUGGAAAAGGUUUUCUCAGAUUUGAAAAGUGGAUAGGUAUGAUCUUUUACAUUUAUCAAAUGAAAUAUCUUACUAAAUGCUUUUUAUUUUUCUAAUUGAUUAGUAACACUAUUAAUAUUUGUUGUGCCAUUUUUUUUCUAAUUUAGAAAUACCAGUAGCAGAUCGUUUAUAAAAGGACACAGCUGUUUGAAAGACAAAGAAAUUUACAUUGGCAGACAUGAAGAACUAUUUCCCAGUCCGGGUUCACUCAAAUAGUUUUCAGAUGUAGAAUACAAAGUUCGAUCACAUACAGACAAAACUACAAGAAAGCACAUCAACAAAUGCCUGUCAAUUAUUUUGGAAAUACUGACCGAAAUUCCUAAAAUAAACUUACAAAGUGUCAGAGAAACACAUUCUAGACUGAGCCAGCUGUUAACUUGCAUCUUCUAGUACUCUGAGGCACCAUUAAUUCCAAAUUUUUGCAUGUGAAAAUGAAAUGUUUUGCAGAGAAUGCAUGCAAUAGGAUGAAAUAAAUAAUUAUAAAGACAUAUACUAUGCAUUUUCCCACAUAACAAAUUGCAUUUUACCUUAAUAUGAGGUAGUGCAAUAAGGAAAAUGGCUCAUGAAAAGAAAUAUGUUCUUUUACAUAAUAAAUAAAUAUAUAUAAGUAUAUACGUAUAAUGUAUAAUAAAUAUAUUAAAGUAAUACCCUUUCCAUAAAACCAAACAGACCCUAUCUCUGUUAAAAAUAGUUAUAUUUUAUUUAUUUAUUUGUUUAUUUAUUUUUAAGUUUAUUUCUUGAUUUUGAGAGAGAGAGAGAGAGAGAGAGAGGGCACAC